GCAUAUGAAUCUGCCCGAUAGUGGGGGAUAACCUGGGGAAACCCAGGCUAAUACCGCAUACGUCCUACGGGAGAAAGGGGGCUCCGGCUCCCGCUAUGGGAUGAGCCUAUGUCGGAUUAGCUAGUUGGUGAGGUAACGGCUCACCAAGGCCACGAUCCGUAACUGGUCUGAGAGGAUGAUCAUCCACAUCGGGACUGAGACACGGUCCGAACUCCUACGGGAGGCAGCAGUGGGGAAUAUUGGACAAUGGGGGAAACCCUGAUCCAGCCAUGCCGCGUGUGUGAAGAAGGCCCUCGGGUUGUAAAGCACUUUCAGCGAGGAAGAACGCCUAGCGGUUAAUACCCGCUAGGAAAGACAUCACUCGCAGAAGAAGCACCGGCUAACUCCGUGCCAGCAGCCGCGGUAAUACGGAGGGUGCAAGCGUUAAUCGGAAUUACUGGGCGUAAAGCGCGCGUAGGUGGCUUGAUAAGCCGGUUGUGAAAGCCCCGGGCUCAACCUGGGAACGGCAUCCGGAACUGUCAAGCUAGAGUGCAGGAGAGGAAGGUAGAAUUCCCGGUGUAGCGGUGAAAUGCGUAGAGAUCGGGAGGAAUACCAGUGGCGAAGGCGGGCUUCUGGACUGACACUGACACUGACGUGCGAAAGC
rnacentral:rRNA from 1 species